rnacentral:rRNA from 1 species
AAACCAACAGGGAUUGCCUUAGUAGCGGCGAGUGAAGCGGCAAGAGCUCAAAUUUGAAAUCUGGUACCUUCGGUGCCCGAGUUGUAAUUUGAAGAAAGCUAUCUUGGAUUUGGCCUUUGUCUAUGUUCCUUGGAACAGGACGUCACAGAGGGUGAGAAUCCCGUGCGAUGAGGUGUCCAUUUCUAUGUAAGAUGUUUUCGAAGAGUCGAGUUGUUUGGGAAUGCAGCUCUAAGUGGGUGGUAAAUUCCAUCUAAAGCUAAAUAUUGGCGAGAGACCGAUAGCGAACAAGUACAGUGAUGGAAAGAUGAAAAGAACUUUGAAAAGAGAGUGAAAAAGUACGUGAAAUUGUUGAAAGGGAAGGGUAUUAGAUCAGACUUGGUAUUUAGUUAUCAUUGCUCCUUGUGGGUGGUGCUCUAGCUUUUUACUGGGCCAGCAUCAGUUUUGGUGACAGGAUAAUAGCAAUUGAAUGUGGCUCCUCGGAGUGUUAUAGCUUUUGUUGAUACUGUCUACUGGGACUGAGGUCUGCGGCUUUGCCUAGGAUGCUGGCGUAAUGAUCCAAUACCGC